GCUGGGUGUGGUGGUGCACACCUGUAGUCCCAGCUACUGGGGAGGCUGAGGUGGGAGGAUCACCUGAGCCCAAGGAGGUCAAGGCUGCAGUGAGCUGUGAUCAUGCCACUGCACUCCAGCCUGGGCAACAGAGUGACACCCUGUCUCAA
rnacentral:SRP_RNA from 1 species